GGGCAAAAAAUAGCCCGAAACGACUCCUGUCUCGGGCCUAGGGGAAUGGCUCUCGUAAGAGCCUUGCGCUAACUGGUUAGUAAAUGGAGUUUGAUUACACUUUCAAUGUUAGUUGAAUAAUGUUUAUUUUCCAGUUA
rnacentral:sRNA from 1 species